UUUUUUUUUUCUUUCAACAAAAUGAUUAUAUUCUUUUCAUGAUGAAAUAAAAGUAUUUUCUUUCAUUUUAACAAACCGAGUAUCUUUUUUUUUUCAUGAUAUAGAAAAAAUAUUUUCUUUCAUUCAACAAAAUGAGUAAUAUCUUUUCAUGUUGUAGAAAUGAUACUUUCUUUUUUAACAAAAUAAAAUAUUUUUUUAGUUAUCAAGCUCAAAUUUCAACAUUGUUCUUGUGUAAAAAAAGUAAAGUAGCACAUUAGUUCUUUUGGGUUAGUGUGAAUUUUAAAAAGAAUAAUUAAAUUCUUGAAGAAAAUAGAUUCGGGAUUGGGGGUAGGGGGGAGGGGAGUACAAAAACAUGGGGAUUUUGGGGAAGGCUAAUGAAGGAAAGUAGCAUAAAAUAUUAUUUUCCUAAAAUUAUUUUAUACUCUCCAACCAAACACUAGAAAAUAUUUUACGGAAAAAGUUUUUACUCACCAACCAAACAAUGAAAAUUAAGUAAUAAAAACACUUAUUUUUUAAGAAAAUAUUUUCUAGGAAAAUAUUUUACAUUCAAACCAAACACACCAUUAAGGCAUAACAAUUCCAAAAAGCUAUCUAUUUGCACUAAAUAACUAACAUGAUCAAGGAGAGAACGAGAUGCUCCCAUCGCACCCAACACAUGAAACACCCUACAGUCCUAUUUAACAGGAACUUCACAUGAAAACUGGCGACAUUCUUUAACUAAGGAAGCAGAGAGUCAAUAAAAUAAACCUGCUAAAUAAAGAUUGAAUUCAUUUUUAGAACCUUCAGACUUAAACUCUUUUCCUUUGUUGAUCCAUACUAAUUCAAACUGGAGACUUGCAUCUUUAUCCUUAAAAGUCAAUUAUGCAAUAAAAAUAUUUUUUAAUCAAGUAAGAUAGGCAUAAUAUCAAGAACUCUCUUUUACAUGACACAGAUGGAAACAACAUGCUACACCAUUUCGUUCUCAAAUCUUGAAUCCCCUAUUACAUAAAAAAACGCCAUUUUUAAGCUAAGACCGAAGAAACCACAGAUGCGACUUAUAACAAUUCAACCUGCUUAAAAUUAAACCCCUAGGAAAGCACUCAACUAAACAAUUUAAACAUACAGAAGUAAGCUCAACAAUCCAAUAAACCAUCGAGCACGACAGAUCUAGCUUACUAUAAAUUUAGGGAUUUUUACCUAGUUAUACUAUAUUAGAAACUUAUUUAUCUAUUUUCUUUAUGUUUUGUAAUUUUUAAUAAGUAUAUAGGUUUUUCUUACAAAUUGUAUACGUUGCUCCUUAAAAGUCUCUCACCUCAUUAUUAGUCCCUUCAAUUAAGGGAUUCAAUUACAUCCUUUCUUUUUUUCCCCUCUCCUCUUCUCUUUCCUUUUUUUUUUACAUCAAAAUCCCAAUCUACACCCAGAAUCUCCAUCUUCUCUCUUCCCACCAUUGCCGACAGUUUUAUAUUAUUAAAAAGUCAUCUAUUGCAUCGUUAGACACUGAAAAUGAAGAAACAUUCAGAUUGUUGCCAGAAUUAUUCUCAAUGUCGUUCCAUUAAAAAUCUUUGAAGUUUUGAAUUCGAUAUUCAUAUUUUCAGAUUUUGCGAUUUAUUUGGAUUGAAUAUUCUUAGAAAUGAUUGAGAAUAUGCUUUAGAGUUUAUAUCUCAAUUUUGAGGGAGAUUAGUUAAGUAUAAAGUUGGUUUUAGGUGAAAUUUCAUAUUGAAACUCGAAAAAGAAGAAGUUGCAGGAAUUGUAUGAUAAUUAUAUGAUAACUGUAUCAUAAUUGUAUUUGAAUUGUAUCAGAUAUAUCAAUGCCGAAAAUAUAAUUGUAUCAUACUUAUAUUAUAAUUGCAUAUAACUUGUAUCUGGUACAUUAAUACCAAAAAUAAUACCUGAUACAAAAUUAAUAAAUUAAUAUAUCAUUAUCAUAUAUUUGUGAUACAAACUGUGAAAUUGGUCACGAACUCACAACUGCUCGUAACAUUAUAUAAUGAAUAUACAAUUAUCUUACAUUUGUAAUACAAUUCCUACAACAAUUAUGAUACAUAUACAAUUAUAAUGAAAUUGUAAGGCCCCGUAAAAUUUCACCUAAAAUCCGAGGUUUCGUGGUGGUGAGGUAGGCUGAUAUGUUUGGUGAUGGAAGAAAAAGAUAUUUUUGCAGCCCACUAUGCGGCCGCAGAAUGGCCGCAGAGUGAAGCAAGAACUUGAGCAAAAUUUGUGGGCCAUUAUGCGGCCGCAGAAUUAUUUUUCGGGCCACAGAUUGCAUCUCAAGAUCGACAUGAGAAAUUCCCGGAGGAGAUUCUACGGUCCGCUUUGCGACAACAGAAUCGAUAUGCGGACUACAAAACGGACGCAUACCCAGGCAGCGGUGCCUAGUUCCGAAGAGCCAUUUCGCGGCCCGUUUCACAGACCGCAGAACCAUUAUGCGGUCGCAUAUGUAACUGCAGAUUCUGUUUCGGAACUUUAUUUUUUUAAUUUUUAUAACACGACCCCAUUUUAUUAUAUAGAGUCUAUGGAGCAUUUCUUAAGUAAGAACGUGACAUUUUGAGAGUGAGAAAGUGCUCUAGAGAGGGAGAGAGUUCCUUAACCAUUAGUUCCUCAAUUAUUACUCAAAUCUUGAAAGAUUAACAAGGAAAACACACUAGUUCUUCAUCCUAGAGGUAAGAUUCUACACCCUAACCCUCAAUUUUGAAAUUUAACUAAAAAUAGGUAAUUAGUAAGGUAAUUCUUGGGUGUGGGAGUUAUUUAUUUUUACAUGCAUGUACUAUCAAGGGUUGGGGGAAGAAUAUUGAGCUAAAUUGGGUAGACUUUGGGUAGUGGGGUGAAAGAAUCCACCAUGGGAGGACCUUGAAAUCAUAAUACCCACCUAGUAUUUGAUAGAAUGCUCAAAUGAGCUGCAACUAUAAACUCUCUCCUAAUUUGUGUACAAUUUUGCUAUAUUUCCAAAUAGAUCAAAUAAGUUAAGAAUUCCGGAACAUUGUAGUAAUUUAAAAAGGCUCGAGGCAAGGUAUGUUUGCUAAACUCCUCUUUUAGAAUUGAACCCAAAAUGGCCUUGUAAGUCUCGUGUUGCUCAUUAUAAAUUGAUUAUUCCGAACAAGCCUUGUGUCAAAAGAUAUAUGCGUUCGAAUCGUAUUCCAAACGUUCUUCUUUCUUGAGUUGCUAUUUGGGAAGGUGAUUAAACAUGGGCUAUGUGUUAAUAUGUCAUAAUUUGAAGCGUGAUUUUAAUGAAAACUAGCAUGUCGAAUUGUGUAAGAAAUCACAUGUGUCUAAGACCCUUAAUUUGGUUAGUUACUCAUAUGUGUAUCUAAAGUCUUGAAUUAAAAUGUCUUGUUAUUGAUAGUCUAUAAGGAUGCUUGAAAGUGAAAGAAGGUUGUUGGAGAUGGAUAGUGUGGCCACCGUGCCAAUAAUGAGAGAUACUUGUGCCCAAACGUGGCUGUUUUAACUAUUGCUAUGCUUUGUAAGUGUUUCUAAUGUGUCUUUAGCUCUUAUAUAUAUUCAUGAGUUGAAAUUGUGUAUUUUUCUUUCUGAGAAAAGUAUUUCAAGAUUAAAUAAUGUGUAACUCAUUUAUGCUUCUAACUUGUGCUUUGACAGCCAACCAUUUUACUUCAUUUCUUACAAAAGGAAUUUAUUGUGUUUAAGUCUUCAUUGCUAAUAACUUAAAGUUGUGAUUUCCGGAAUACUCUAUAUGUUAAUGUUUAUGAUGAUGAUCCUUGAAAAUAAAGAAAAGAAAGUAUGAAAUAUGAAGUACGGCCGUCGUGCCAUGAAUAAUGAAUCUUGUGAAUGGCCAAAAGAGCCAAGGAAAUAAUGUUGUUGUAAGUGGUUGAAAAUACUAAUGAAGGUUUAUACAAUGUGAAAGAUGAUGAGAUAAAUACAUUUGUGCUUUUGUUUCCGUUGUGUGUAAACCAAAAAUGUUUUGGGGAGUAUUAUUAGCAAACCGAGGAAGGGUAGGUCAUAAGGCCCACACCCGAAACUACACGUGCCAGUGUAGGGGUAGAUGGUGAUGAAUUGUGAUUAUUCCCCUUAUUUGGGAUGUGAUUGAUAUUAGCUUUGAAUUGGAAAGUAAACGCACACAGCAUAUGUGGGAAGGCGUCCUAGCCUAUUGGGUGGAGAUCGGACGCCAUGCUGUACACAUGGUGGUACUACUCUUGGUAACACCAUUUGUUUGCAUCACAUGUCAAACCACAUUGUCCGUGGGGAGAUGGCCGAGCCGAUGAGGCAUGAUCGGACUCCGUGCUAAAAAUACGGUGGUAUAUCGGUGCUAAUGAUCUCCCAACCAAAAAUAUAUAUUUGUUUUUCGUAUUUUGAAAACUGAUAUGUGUUAACUAGGCAUUUGGAUAUCGUUGAUUGUGACUUGCUAUUUCUACGGUAUUCCCUUUCUUAUAAUGGUAUUCUAUUUUGAAAGUGGACAUUUAGCUUUACAUACUAGUACUAUUCCAUAUGUUCUAACGUCCCUUUUACUAGGGGGCGCUGCAUCUUCAAUGGAUACAUGGGAUUCGUCAGCAGGUGGUUUUGACCCUCGUUAGCAGUUACUCUCUAUUUAGUAGAUUUUGGUGAGCCUUACUCUAUUCCGGGCUUCAUGUCAUUUGACAUUGUACGUUACAUUUUGAGGUAUUGCUGGGGCCUUAUCGUCGGCACAUCUAUACUACUCUUCUGUUGUACUUAGAGGCUCCGUAGACAGGUUGUGGGUAGUAUAUGAUGUUGGGAAUUAAACUAGUAAGUGUUGGUAUUUGGGCGAACAUCUUUUUAUCAUAUCAGUAAACUUGUUAUAUAUUGGAAAUCAUAAAUGAAUAUCUUUUAGUAGUGGAAAAUAUUGUGGAACACUUAACUCUUUUCAUGUCUAUCACCUAUACUGGUUUUUAUAUUAUUUAUGGGCAAGGUUGGGUAGAAGGCAUCUAACACGCUUGCUUAAUCGGGGUUGAGCGCCGGUCGCGCUCCCCGAGGUCGGGACGUGAUAAAUUUUGUAUUAGAGCCUAAUGUUUUUAAGUGUCCUAGGAUGUUUCGGAGCCGUGUCUAGUAGAGUCCUUCUUAUCGAUGUGUUGUCGACCACAUCUAUAAUGGGGAGGCUGCUUGGACAUUUAGGAAUUUCACACUUCUUUGAUACUCUAGAUCGUGCGAUAGAGCUCAAGAUAGGAAGCUAAUUUCCUCGUUAUGCCUCAUUUUCCAGAUGAGUAAUGCACGAGUUCGAAGCAUAGAUGAGGGAAUAACCCCACUAUUGGAUCCGCGGGAGAUUACACAAGAGUUCAUUGGGAGAAUGCAUCGAGCCAUGGAGGGAUUGGAAGAACUUAUUUCUAAGGGAAGUGUCCUUGUUCCCACCAAUGUCACCGCACCACCGGAUUGUGUGGUAAGAGAAUCUAAGAAACGAAAGAGGGUUGUUGGUUCUAAUGAACCGGAUGGUUUGAUUUUCAAGAAGCGUCACUUGGGGGUAUGUUGGAUGAAUCUUGAAAUAUGUUACGGUUGUGGAAAGAGGGGGCACAAAAAGAACAAAUUCCCUAAGUUGGGUACAGACAUCCCAGUCUACCCGAUGUGCGGGAAUAAAUAUUUGGUGUCGUGUUGUGAGUAUGCUCAGCAGCAUGUUAGGGGUGGAAGGUUUGGGAAAUUCCAAAGGCCCACAUAGUAAAAUGGUAUGGGGUUUGCUACUCCUGCAUUGGAGGCCUGGAGGAAGGAUAAGUGAUGUAUGCAAAAAGGGUGAAUAUCAGGUCAGUGGGGCGAGUAUGUUUAGCGGACCUCAUCCUCGUUGUGUGAAGUGUAGGAUGUGUCAUUCACGGGUAUUCACUAUGGCACUAGUGUAUGAUACAAGUGUGGUAUGAGGGGUCACGUUCAGAGAGAUUGUUGUUCAUCUCGCCAGAGCAUGGGCGGGGGUGUGACACAACAAUUAAAUUAUGUAGCUACUACAUCCACAACGCCUCCCCCAGCUAGAGGCACUAUACUGACUGCGGGGCGUGUAGAAGCUAGGGGUGGUGUUCAGAGCUCGGGAGGGCACAACAGGUUUUAUGCUAUGAGGAGGCGUCAAAAGUCGGAGGCUUCUCCAGAUGUGGUUACAGGUAUAUCGAUUGUCCAAUCUCAUGAUAUAUAUGCCCUUAUUGAUCCAGGUUCCCACUUUGUCAUAUGUCAUUCCUUAUGUUGAUAUGGAAAUUAGGAUAGAAUCGGAACAACUUUAUGAGCCAUCCUCUGUAUCUACUCUUUGAACGAGACAUAUCAAUUGUGAAGCCUCUUUAUCACAGUUAUCUUACUUACAACCUCUUAAGCAAUUGAGUUCUAUAAUUAUGUCCUUGAAUUGAGUUAUUACCCUAGGCAAAUACUUCCCCACUUGCUUCUCUAAAUGCUCAAGAAGGGACUAUACCUGAUGAAUCUCUUACAGAACCUUCUGAUUCAAAUAGAUAAGACCUACUCACUUGUAUUUGUGCAUGCACUACCAUAAUAUUUAUCCACAGGUUAUCGAAUCUAACGUAAGGUAGCCUAGUGCCGAGAUCUUUCUUGAGCCAGUCUCUUUCUCUUAUGCACGUGACUCAUAUGGUUUGAAAAAUCACUUUACUCCUUUGUGAGCAUUAUCAUAAACCCUUUCCACUGUCUAGUAACAUAAGAGCAUAUCUUUGCACCCAUCAUAUGUGAAUGUGUCAAUUGAAAUGGUCAUUCGUUCGCAUAAAGUUUCUCGGAAAUUUGGGAUUUCUCACAAAUUCUCCAUAGGAAUAUCUAUUGUUCGCCUAUCUCAGUACGACAUUCAUGUCCACCUAAAUCAUGCCUCAGUGAGUAAUUCACUUUGUUCCUAGUAUUGUAGUUGCCCAUUAAGUGGCCUGGUAUUGCAGCUUGGGAGUUAUUAUGGCAAAAACCAUGUCUAGCUCAUAGCGAAGUGUUCAUUCUCUCUAACUAGCAUGUGAUUUUAUCCCAAUAUUAUGGUGUCCUAGCUAUGUGGUUUCACUCGUGAAAGGUUGAAAUUAGAUACAUCCAGAUUUCGGCAUAUAUCAUGGGCAUAUUGAUUUGAAAGAUAAGUUUGUCAUAUCUCUAGUCCUCUUAUAUAGGAUCAACUAUUGGAAUAGGUUAAGUUGUCAGAAUGAUAAUAAUCUUACAGGUGUUCAACUUCUUUUUCAACCUCGUGGGCUUGUGGUAGAGAUUCCUUGUGUUAGUUAAUGUUGAGGGCAUAACACAACGUCAUGUAUUUUUGAAAUCUCUAUCAUAUUCAUGGUUCAAGAAUCUUCUCAUUUUGAAUUAAACUGAUCUUCCCUACACUCAAGGAGGCAACUGGUGUCAUGUACUUUACUAUUUCUUUUUAAGGCUUACAAUUGCCGAACAAGGCACAUAUGGAGUGAAACAAUUGUUACUAUCACUUUCGUGACUUAUCAUCUUCCCAAAAUAACUGAUGCUAAUGUUUUAUCCUCCCGAUCAUGCCUCCCAUACAUCCCAUGUCUAAAAUGACUCACUAGUUAUACAUCUUAGGAUCAUGUACAUGGUUCCCAUAUUAUUAAUCUGUACUGGUAACUCUAUGCCUCGUUUGUUGAACCGAUGAUUCCAUCACAAUGAUUAAACAUGGUAGCACUAUUGGUGGUCACCCUCAUGUCUCUUAGAAUAUAACCUCUUAAAAUGGCCUUCUCAGUACAAUGAUGGAUUCUUGAACAAUUCCAGCCUAAUCUCGAAUCUCGUUGUUCCUAUUUGUGGUAAAGCUAUCGAGAAUUGUAGGUUCAAACAUGUCAAAAAAUAAGCAUCAUUCCAUGAUCGAACAUAUUGGAUAGGAACUCUAUGGUCAUAUUCAUUCUAGCACAUCGUAGAAUAAUAGUUGAAAGUCGCCAAAGGUUUAGUUUGGGUAUUCGGCGUAGAGAUUUAGAGUUGAAGAAAGUGAAUAGGUUAUUCUCAAGAUUUUCUCCAUAAAGAUACUAUGUGAAUUGUUAAUAGAUGUAAGAUAGGUGUAGUUUACAUUUGGGCCUUAUGAAAUCUUGAAGAAAAUAAAAUGGGCCAAGUUAUGAGUAUGGUGUGUCUCCCAUCGUUGUUCUCCAUGCAUCGGGUGUUUCAUGUGUCUACGCCCGAAUGGGUAGUUGGGAGUUGUUUGUCUAUCAUUUGGGGGGGAAGCUAUGGAAGGUGAAGUUAAUGGGUAAUUGGCUUAUGAGAGGUACUUAAUUGUCAUCCUUGCUAGAUAAGUCCGAUAAUUGAGAUUGCCUCCGUCAAGUGCUAUGGCUAAGUCUGUGAGUCGAGGAGGUUGCCUCGAUAGUCGAGAGUGUUGUGGAAAGGGAAUAUUCUUACUCGAUUGUAGAGCCAAAUGGCUGCGGUUCAAAGGGUACUUUCUAUGUGUUAUGGUUUAAAUGUGUACAGUUCAUGUGAAGAUACCACUUCUGUUAAUGUAAUUCCCUAAUGUUGAGAUCAGUGUUAUUGAUAUAUAUACUACGAUGCUUUGUUGAGUUAUAGAUAUGUUGUUAGGGUGGUUUUGGUGAUUCUAUAGCAGGUGGAUAGGCCCAAUUACAGAGGAGACUUUGCCGAAAUAUUUGGAAAAUUUGGGAGUCAGUCAAAUUUGGGGGAUUGUGAUGUGUGAAAGGAGGGAAUGAAUUAUGUUGGGUGUUUUGGGGCGGACUCUACUCCUCAUUCGAGGACAAAUGAUCCUAAGUGGGGGAGGAUGUAAGGCCCCAUAAAAUUUCACCUAAAACCCAAGGUUCCGUGGUGGCAAGGUAGACUAAUUUGUUUGGUGAUGGCAGAAAAAGACAUUUAUGCGGCCCACUAUGCUGCCGCAGAAUCACUCUGCGGACCGAAGAAUGGCCGCAGAGUGAAGCAGGAACUUGAGCAGAAUUUGUGGGCCAUUAUGUGGCCGUAGAAUUACUUUACGGACCGCAAAUUGCAUCGCAUGAUCGACAUGAAGAAUUCCGGGAGGAGAUUCUGCGGUCCACUUUGCGACCGCAGAAUCGAUAUGCGGACCACAGAACGGUCGCAUACCCAAGCAGCGGUGGCGAGUUCCGGGGGCCAUUUUGCGACCCAUUUCGCGGAUCGCAGAAGCAUUAUGCGGUCGCAUUCUGUUUUGGAGCUUUAUUUUUUUUAUUUUUAUAACCCGACCCCAUUUCGUUAUAUAGACUAUAUUGACCAUAUCUUAAGUAAGAACCUCAUAUUUUGAGAGUGAGAAAGUGCUCUAGAGAGGGAGAGAGUUCCUCAACCAAUUGUUCCUCAAUUCUUACUCAAAUCUCGGAAGAUUAACAAGGAAAAUACACUAGGUCUUCAUCCUAGAGGUAAGAUUCUACACCCUAACCCUCAAUUUCGAAAUUUAACUAAAAAUAGGUAAUUAGUAAGGCAAUUCUUGGGUGUGGUAGUUGUUUAUUUUUACAUGCAUGUACUAUCAAGGAAUGGGAUAAGAAUGUUGAGCUAAAUUGGGUAGACUUUGGGUAGUGGGGUGAAAGAAUCCACCAUGGGAGGAACUUGAAAUCAUAAUACCCACCUAGUGUUUGAUAGAAUGCUCAAAUGAGCUGGAACCAUAAACUCUCUCCUAAUGUGUGUUCAAUUUUGAUAUAUUUCCAAAUAGAUCGAAGAAGUUAAGAAUUCCGGAAUAUUGUAGUAAUUUAAAAAGGCUCGAGGCAAGGUAUGUUGGCUAAACUCCUCUUUUAGAAUUGAACCCCACAAUGGCCUUGUAAGUCCCGUGUUGCUCAUUAUAAAUUGAUUAUUCCGAACAAGCCUUGUGUCAAAAGAUAUAUGCGUUCUAAUUGUAUACCAAACGUUCUUCUUUCUUGAGUUGCUAUUUGAGAAGGUGAUUAAACAUGGGUUAUGUGUUAAUAUGUCAUGAUUAGAAGCGUGAUUUUAAUGAAAACUAGCAUGUCGAAUUGUGUAAGAAAUCACAUGUCUCUAAAACCCUUAAUUUGGUUAGUUACUCAAAUGUGUAUCUAAAGUCUUGAAUUAAAAUGUCCUGUUGUUAAUAAUCUAUAAGGAUGGUUGAAAGUGAAAGAAGGGGGUUGGAGAUGGAUUGUGUGGCCACCGUGCCAAUAAUGAGAGAUACUUGUGCCCAAAUGUGGUUGUUUUAACUAAUGCUAUGCUUUGUAAGUGUUUUCAAUGUGUCUUUAGCUCUUAUAUAUAUUCAUGAGUUGAAAUUGUGUAUUGCCCUUUUUGGGAAAAGUAUUUCAAGAUUAAAUGAUGUGUUACACAUUUAUGCUUCUAACUUGUGCUUUGAUUACCAACCAUUUUAUUUCAUUUCUUGGAAAGGAAUUCAUUAUGUUUAUGUUGAUGUUUAUGUUGAUGAUCCUUGAAAGUAAUAAAAAGAAAGUGUGGAAUAUGAAGUACGGUUGUCGUACCAUAAAUAAUGAAUCUUGUGAAUGGCCAAAAGAUCCAAGGAAAUAUUGCUGUUGUGAGUGGUUGAAAAUACUAAUGAAGGUUUAGACAAUGUGAAAGAUGAUGAGAUAAAUAUAUUUGUGCUUUGGUUUCCCUUGUGUGUAAAUCAAAAAUCUUUUUGGGAGUGUUAUUAGCAAACCGAGAAAGGGUGGGUCAUAAGGCCCACAUCUGAAACUACACAUGCCGGUGUAGGGGUGGAUGGUGAUGGAUUAUGAUUAUUCCCCUUAUUUGGGAUGAGAUUGAUAUUAGCUGUGAUUUGGAAAGUCAACCCACAUGGCAUAUGUGGAAAGGUGGCCUAGCCGAUCAGGUGGAGAUCGGACGCCAUGUUGUGCACAUGGUGGUACUACUCUUGGUAACACCCUUCAUUCGCAUCACAUGUCAAACCACAUUGUCCGUGGGGAGAUGGCCUAUCCGAUCGGGCGUGAUCGGACUUCGUGCUAAAACAACGGUGGUAUAUCGGUGCUAAUGAUCUUCCAACCAAAAAUAUAUAUUAUUUUUCGUAUUUUGAAAACUGAUAUGUAUUAACUGGGCAUCUGGAUAUUGUUGAUUGUGACUUGUUGUUUCUAUGGUUUUCCCUUUAUUAUAAUGGUAUUCUAUUUUGAAAGUGGGCAUUUAGUUUUACAUACUAGUACUAUUCUAUAUGUACUAACGUCCCUUUUGCUGGGGGCGCUGCAUCUUCAAUGGAUGCAGGUGAUUCUUCAGCAGGUAAUUUUGACCCUCAUUAGCAGUUACUCUCUAUUCAUUAGAUUUUGGUGAGCCCUGCUCUUUUCCGGGCUUCAUGUCAUUUGACGUUGUACGUUAAAUUUUGAGGUAUAGCCGGGGCCUUGUCGCCGACACAUCCGUACUACUCUUCUGUUGUACUUAGAGGCUCCGUAGAUAGGUUGUGGGUGGUAUAUGAUGUUGGGAAUUAAACUAGUAAGUGUUGGUAUUUGGGCGAACAUGUUUUUAUCAUAUCAGUAAACUUGUUAUAUAUUGAAAAUCAUAAAUGAAUAUCCUUUAAUAGUGGAAAAUAUUGUGUAACACUUAACUCUUUUCAUGUCUAUCACCUAUACUAGUUUUUAUAUUAUUUGUGGGCAAGGUUGGGUAGAAGGCAUCUAACACGCUUGCUUAACCGGGGUAUCUCGGUUGAGCGCCGGUCGCGCUCCCCGAGGUCGGGGCAUGACCGCAAUCGCAAUGCAUUUCUGAAAAAAUUUGAUAAAAUUAUGAUCUUCAUCUUCUUCAAGUUUCAAUCUCAACUCUACACUAAAAAUCUAAUAUAAUCGCAUUAUAAUUGUAUAGCAUUGUAUCAAGUAUUGUUUUGGGCAUUGAUGUAUCAUACACAAGUCACAUAUAAUUUUGAUACAGUUGUUAUACAAUUCUAAAAUAAAUAUGAUAUAAUUAUCAUAUAAUUCCUAUUCUUUACCAUUCAGUGAGGAGACUAGCUGCAAUCGAAGUUCAAACCCAUUACAUUUUAGUGAAGAGAUAGCAAUUUGGGAAGAUUUCUAUAAAACAAUCAUAUAAUGAUUCUUAUUGCUAGUGAAGCCAUUGGUAAUGCAGAGUACAACUGUAAGGCCCCGUAAAAUUUUGCAAAGGAAAAAUAAUGUUUCAUCGUGCUAGACUAGGCUUACGUGUUUGUGGAUUGUAAAAUUUUGGGUUAAACAAUGCACCAGAAAGUAAAGGAAAAUGUUUGGCAAUGUAAUGCGUUUCUGCGGUUCAUUAUGCGACCGCAGAAUCACUCUGCGGACCGCAUAAUGGCCGUAGAGUGAGACAGAUAAUUGGCUCAGUUGGAAGCAAUUAUGCAGUAGACUAUGCGACCGCAUAGCUAUUAUGCAGACCGCAUAGUGAUCGCGGACACAAACAGAUGUUUGGUCGUUUUGGACACCAAUUAUGUGACCGAUAUGCGGUCCGCAUAACCAUUAUGCGAUCGCAUAUGCGACCUGUUCCGGAGCUUCAUUUUUGGAUUUUUAAAACCCGACCCUACUUCAUUAAAUACACGUUUUGGGCCAUUUUUGAGAUAUAAUCUGACAUUUUAGAGUGAGAGAGAGUGCCCUAGAGUGAGAAGGUGUUCUUUAAUAAUUGUUCUUCAAUUCUUACUCAAGUUUUGGAAGAUUAAGAAGGGAAACUCACUAGGUCUUCAUCCUAGAGGUAAGAUUCUACACCCUAACCCUCAAUUUCAAAUUUUGUCUAGAAAUGGGUAAUUAACAAGAUAAUUUUUGGGCAUGAGAGAUGUUUAUUUUACAUGCAUGUGAUAUCAAAGGUGUAGGAAGAUUGUGGAGCUAAAAAUGGUAAAGAUUGGGUUGUAGGAUGAUGAUAUCCUCCAUAAAGGGACCUUGAAACCUUAAUGCACACCUAGGGUUUGAUAAAAUGCUCAAAUGAGCUAGAACCAUAAGCAUCUUCCUAAUUUUGGUUCAAUUUGUUAUAUUUCCAAAAUAGAUUGAAGUUGCUAAGAAUUCCGAAACGUUUUAGAGUUUAAGGAAGGUCGAUUGAGGUAUGUUGGCUAAACUCUUCUCUUAGAAUUGGAUCCCACGAUAUUCAUAUGAAUUAUGUAAGUCCCGAGUGAUUCAUUAUAAAAUUGGCUAAUUCCGAGUAAGAUUGGGUUGAAAGAUAUAUGUUCAAUAAGUACCCCAAAUGCUUUAUUCAUGUUAUGUUACCAAUUGAAGAUGUGUUAAAAUAUGGGUUGUGCAUUAAUAAUGUUUUGACUUUAAGUCAAGUUCAAACGAAGGCUAUUAUGCCAAAUUUUUUGAAAUAUCUCUAGGUGCCUUAGACUCUUAAUUGCUCUUUAAGUCAAGUUCAAACGAAGGCUAUGAUGACGUUGAUGUUUGAAAGUGAAAAGGUGAGCAUGAAAUACUAAAUAUGGCCAACGUGCCAAGUAUGAUCUCAUAAAUUAUGGCCAUUAGUGCCAAUUAAAGGAAAAGAUGUGAAAGUAAUAUGAAAUGCGAUGAUUGAUACAAAAAGGUUGAAAUCUCGAAUAAGACAGCCUAGCCGAUCGGGUCGUGAUCGGACACCAUGUCGCACACAUGGUGGUGAUUGUGUUGGAAAUUGUAAUUAAAAUUGAGAUUUUGGUUGAUGUCUUCAAAUAAGAUAGCCUAGUCGAUCGAGUGGUGAUCGGACUCCGUAUCAAAAUAGUUCGUAUCAGAAUGGUGAACUCGCCUAGAGCACAAGUGUUAAUAGAAGAUGUGAAGGAUCAGCUGUAAUGAAGCCGACUUGAGUGAAACUGAAUAUCAAUUAAAAGAUUCGGAGGGAGUUCAUGUCUACAUAUUACAUUGGAAAGAUAGACUACUGGUGAUGAAGUGGUGGUGUGAUAAACUCAACAAAGCAGGCACAAUGAUACUACGAGUUCAUGGGAGGCAAACAAGUGUGUGGCACAAUAAGGUUAUCAACUAUGAAUUAAGGGAAAAAUGGGAUGGGAGUUAAUGCUCUUGUCACAAAAGAAAUAUAGUACCAACAUAUUGUCUUGACCAAAGGGGAAAUGUUUGAAACAAAUUAAGAGAGGAUGAACACUUGUUAGGAACCAAACAUGUUUAACAUGAUAGCUCUUAGGCUGCAAUACCAGGAAGCAAUAUUGAUGACUACAGUACUGGGAAUAAGGUGAGUUACUCAUGGAAUCAGGUGGAUUAAGUCCUACACUUAUAAGUCGUCGUUGAAGAAUUUAGGAGGAUCUUAAGUUUCAGAAAAGGCUCUGUUCGGGCUAAAUUUAUAUGAAGGGUAUCGAUAUGUGUUUUGGGAAGUGUUUAGCAGUAAAGAUGAAUCGUGAGAAUGUUCACAAGGGAAGUAGAGUGGUGUCUUAAAAUCCUAUAAGACUUAUAAUGAGGAAAGAGGGUGGCUAAGAAAGGUCUAAGCACGAUGUUACUUCAUAUAUUGAGGCAAUGCCAUACAGGUUGAUAUUAUCAGGGUGUGCGCGUAAGCUAGUAGAUGUUAUUCAUUUGAAACAGGUGGUCAUAUAAGAAAACUGACCUAGUAAUGUCUUUUGUUGAGAAAUUUGGGAAAAACACGUUGCAAGUACUAAUGAUGUUCCACUAAUGAUGCAAUAUAGCAAGAUGAUCAUUUAUGCCUCUAGGUUACUCAAGAAUCAUGAGAAAAAUAAUCAAACAUAUGACUUAGAACUUGCGACUGUGAUUUUGACAUUAAAGAUUUGGCGUCAUUAUUUGUAUGUGGUCCAGGAGGACAUAUUCACGGACCAAGAGUUCCUUCAAUAUAUUUGCAAAUAAAAGAAAUUGAAUAUGAGGCAGAGAAGAUGGCCUAAAUUACUGAAGGAUUAUUACAUUGAUAUUUAUACCAUCCGGGGAAGGCCAAUGUUGUGGCAGAUGCUCUUAGCCGAAAAUCUAUGGGUAGUUUGGCACACUUGGAGGCAUAUCAAAGGCCAAUGGCCAAAGAAGUUCACCGAUUAGCUAGUUUGGGAGUUCGUCUUGCGGACUCUAGUGAAGGAGGGGUAAUUAUGCAAAAUAGGGCUGAAUCAUUGCUUGUUGUGGAAGUCAAAGAGAAUAAAUACAACGAUCCAUUGUUGGUGCAAUUGAAAGAGAGGAUUCAUAAACAUAAGACCAUGGCCUUUUCUCUUGGCAUGGAUGAUGGUACACUAAGGUACCAAGGGCGAAUAUGUGUUCCAAAUGUGGAUGGUCUCCGUAAAAGAAUUAUGACUGAAGCUCACACUUCUAGGUAUUCUGUGCACCCAGGAUCUACGAAAAUGUAUCAUGAUCUUAAGGAAGUCUAUUGGUGGAAUGAUAUGAAGAGGAAUAUAGCGGAAUUUGUGGCGAAGUGUACAAAUUGUCAUCAAGUGAACGCCGAACACCAAAGGCCCGGUGGGUUGGCACAGAACAUAGAAAUUUUAAUAUGGAAGUGGGAAAUGAUUAAUAUGGACUUUGUGGUAGGAUUACCGCGCACUCCGCGCAAGUUUGACUCAAUUUUGGUGCUUGUGGAUCGACUCACGAAGUCAGCACACUUUAUGUCGGUUAAGUCUACCGACACGGCGGAGCAGUAUGCUCAGUUGUAUAUCAAAGAAAUAGUCAGGUUGCAUGGCAUCCCGAUUUCCAUCAUAUCUGAACGGGGAGCACUAUGCUACCGUAGAACAGUUAUGCUGACCGCAUAAUGACCGCAGACACAGACAGAUUUUUGGUCAUUUUGGACACCAAUUAUGGGACCGAUAUGCGGUCCGCAUAACCAUUGUGCGGUCGCAUAAUGCGACCGCAAAACCUGUUCCGGAGCUUUAUUUUUGGGUUUUUAAAACCCGAUCCUACUUCGUUAAAUACACGUUUUGGGCCAUUUUUGAGAUAUUAUCUGACAUUUUAGAGUGAGAGAGAGUGCCCUAGAGUGAGAAGAUGUUCUUCAAUAAUUUAUCUUCAAUUCUUGCUCAAGUUUUGGAAGAUUAAGAAGGAAAACUCACUAGGUCUUCAUCCUAGAGGUAAGAUUCUACACCCUAACCCUCAAUUUCGAAUUUUGUCUAGAAAUGGGUAAUUAACAAGAUAAUAUUUGGGCAUGGGAGUUGUUAUUUUACAUGCAUGUGAUAUCAAAGGGUGUAGGAAGAUUAUUGAGCUAAAAAUGGUAAAGAUUGGGUUAUAGGAUGAUGAUUUCCUAAUUUUGGUUCAAUUUGUUAUAUUUCCAAAAUAGAUUGAAGUUGCUAAGAAUUUCGGAAUGUUUUAGAGUUUAAGGAAGCUCGAUUGAGGUAUGUUGGCUAAACCCUUCUCUUAGAACUGGAUCCCAUGAUAUUCAUGUGAAUUAUGUAAGUCCCGAGUGAUUCAUUAUAAAAUUGGCUAUUUCGAGUAAGCUUGAGUUGAAAGAUGUAUGUUCAAUAAGUACCCCAAAUGCUUUAAUGAUGUUAUGUUACCAAUUGAGGAUGUGUUAAAAUAUGGGAUGUGCAUUAAUAAUGUUUUGACUUUAGGUCAAGUUCAAACGAAGGCUAUUAUGCCAAAUUUUGUGAAAUAUCUCUAGGUGCCUUAGACUCUUAAUUGCUCACAAGUGUACUACACACCUUGAAUUGAAUUGUUGUUGUUGGUAAUGAUGACGUUGAUGUUUGAAAGUGAAAAGGUGAUCAUGAAAUACUAAAUAUGGCCAAUGUGCCAAGACUGAUCUCAUAAAUUAUGGCCAUUAGUGCCAAUGAAAUGAAAAGAUGUGAAAGUAAUAUGAAAUGUGAUGAUUGAUACAAAAAGGUUGAUGUCUCAAAUAAGACAGCCUAGCCGAUCGGGUCGUGAUCGGACACCAUGUCGCACACAUGGUGGUAAUUGUGCUGGAAAUUGUAAUUGAAAUUGAGAUAUUGGUUUAUGUCUUCAAAUAAGACAGCCUAGCUGAUCGGGCCGUGAUCGGAGUCCGUGCUAAAAUUACGGUGGUAUUGGUAUUGAUAGUAAUUGUGGUUGAUUCUCUAAUGAGAUAGCCUAGCCGAUCAGGCCGUGAUCGGACUCCGUGCUAAAAUUACGGUGGUAUUGGUAUUGAUAGUAAUUGUGGUUGAUUCUCUAAUGAGAUAACCUAGCCGAUCGGGCCGUGAUCGGACUCCGUGCUAAAAUUACGGUGGCAUUGGUAUUGUGAACAUCGAUAUUGUGAACACUGGUAUUGUGAACAUUGGUAUUGUGAAUAAUGGUAUUGUGAACAUUGGAUAUCGAUACUAAAAAUCUCCCAAUGUGAGAUAUGGAAAUUAAUUGAAACACCGUCUUGAUCCUAAAUUGAGGUUUAAUGAUGAUCAAAUCUUCCAUUAAUAUUAUGAUAAUUUUGUUUGUAUUAUUUGUCAUUCUAUUGAGAGGGUGUUUAGUUAUACAUGCUAGUGCUAUUCGACAGUAUUAACAUCCCUUUUGCAGGGGCGCUGCAUCUUUAAAUGGAUGCAAGUGGUUCCACAACAUGAGAUAUUGAUCAGUGAUAGCAGUACACCUUCCACCCAGCUGACUUGGUGAGCCCCACUUCAUCCCGGGGUCAUGUAUCAUUUGUGCUUUGGGUAUUCGAUUUGAGGUAUAGGCGGGGCCUUGUUGCCGGCAUGAUCAUUUUACUCUUCUUCAUCUAUAGAGGCUUCAUAGACAUAGUGUGGGUUGUGUAUUGGUGCUGGGAAAGACAAAAUAUGUUAUGUUGUGGUUGUAUUAUUUGUCCAUUUGAGACUUAAAAAAGGAUGAAACUAUUGGAAAUGAAUUGGUAUUGUAGACAUUAACACCUUUUUGUAUAAUUAAUGAAAAUAUGUAUUAUCUCCAUUCGCGGAUGAGUUUGGGUAGAAUGAAAUCUAAUAGGCUUGCUCGGUCAGGUUCACUCGGUUGAGCACCGGUCGCACUCCUUGAUUUUGGGGCGUGACAACAGCUUGAAAGAGAGACAAAGGAAAAAAAGAAAAUAAGAUUUUAGAACAAUAUUCUGAAUUUCGUCUGCACUGUAUCAAUAAGAAAGUUUGCAUAUAGCUUCUUUUGUCUCAAGUUCUGGAGCACGAUCCUUAAACGUUGAUCAUGAUCCUCCCGGCUACGGGAAUACAUCAAGAUGUUGUCAAUACACACAAUGAUGAAUGAGUCAAGAUAUGGUUGGAAUACACGGUUCAGCAGGUGCAUAAAUCUUGCUUGGGCGUUGGUCAUGCCAAAUGACAUCACAAGGAACUCGUAGUGACCAUACCGAGUCCUAAAAGAAGUCUUCAGAAUAUCCAGAUCCCGAAUCUUCAGCUGAUAAUACCCUGACAUCAAAUAAAUCUUCAAUAACAUUCUGACACCCAGAAGCUGGUCAAAUAAGUCAUCAAUGCGUGGUAAUGGAUACCUGUUCUUCACUGUAACAUUGUUCAACAUUGAGCCAUCCUUCUUCUUUACAAAUAGAUUCAGAGCACUCAAAGGUGACACGGCAGGCCGGAUGAAACCCUUAUCAAGCAACUAUGGCAGCUGUUUGUAACGACCCGACCGGUCGUUUUGAGAAUUUGCAUUAUGUUCAGUUAUUUGAAGUCUUUAGUAGCUUUGUAUGAUGUAUUUUGACUUGUGUGAAUCGUCGGUUUUGGUUUUCAGGUGAUUCGAAAAAAUGAUUCUCAACUAGUAAAAUUUAAGUUGGAAGAGUUGACCAAAUUUGACUUUUGAGUAUUUGACCUCGGAUCGAAGUUUUGAUGGUUCCGUUAGGUCCAGAUAGUGAUUUUGGACUUUGGCGUAUGCCCGGAUAUGCAUUUGGAUAUUUCUAAAAGGUUUCAGCACUAGCUGGCGAAAGUGGGCAAUUUGAAGGUUUGGAAUGUUCAUAAGUUUGACUGGAAGCUGACUUUGAUGAUAGUGGGUUCAGAAUUUGGUUUCGGUAAUUGGAAUAGAUUUGUUAUGUAAUUUGGGACUUAUGUACAAAAUUUGAGGUCAUUCCGGGUUGAUUUGAUAUGGUUCGACACGAGUUUUGGAAGUUAAAAGUUCAAAAGUUCAUUAAGUUUGAUUUGAGGUGCGAUUCAUCGUUUCGAUGUUGUUAUGUGUGAUUUGAUACCUUGAGUAGGUCCUUGUUAUGUUUUUGAACUUGUUGGCAUGUUUGGACGGGGUCCGGGGGGCUCGAAUGAAUUUCGGACAAGGUUCGAAUCAUUUCGGAUGGUUGUUGUAUAGCUGAUUGCUGGUGUGUCUGCAAAGGAUCGGGAUCGCGGAGCCAGGAUCACAAUCACGUAGAGGGAUUCUGGAAUUGAGUAAUUUUCUUCAUCGCUUUCACAUCUUUGGGAAUACAUUCAUGUAGGUUUUUGUUAGUUACUGUUCGCGUUCGCUGACGAGCUAAAAACACAACACAAAAUUAUGCUCGCUAGUCGAAUAUAGUAUAGAAAAUAUCGCAUCCACAAGGAUUGGAUUUAAACAGUGUUUUCGUAGCUUCUAGUUUUAAUUGCUAUCUAAGAUAAUCAACAAUUUAGAGUUGUGUGAUUUAAAACUAAAAUUUGCUAGAAGUCUAAACUAUUGGCUAAUGACAAUCGCAACAAGAGUAAGCAAGAAGAUAUCAAAGGGAGAAAAUAGGUGUUGAUUGGAUAGGUGUAAGAUACUUGUUCGGGAACUAACUCUAGUCGAUUCACUUCUAAGUUUCAAGUGAAUAUCUCGAAUUCACUCUAUUAUGUUCAAACAUUCAGUAGAAACUCCUCUCUCGAUUAAGUCUCAACCUUACGAUAUGAACUAAGUUAAGCUUGGUGAAGUUAUACAAGAAUUCGUAUUGGAUUGAUCCUUAGGAGAACCUCUUUCGAUUAUCCUCCUAACUAGGUCUAAACAUUAAUUCAACUAGCCUCUUUCGAUUACUAACAAGAAUCAAUGAAUACAACUAAUAAGAUAAUGCAAAACAUCAGAAAUUAUACAUCUUUCGAUUACAUAAACAAGUGAAUAUAUAUGCAACAAUAAAAACACCCAAAAUGCUUCAAUAUAUAAAACUAGAGUUAAUAUCCACAAACAAUUCUCAAAAUAUCAAAUCCAUCAAUCCCUAAGGAAGAAUUACUCCUUGGAUAUGGACAAAUUCAUCACAAUUAAGUUUAAUUCAAAGUAAAACAUAAAACAUCUAAACCCUUGUCUUGAGUGAGGAUGAAUGGUGAAAUCCUUGUGCUCUUGCUUUACCCUCUUGUCCUUAGCUUCCUUAGGUCUAAAUUAUGUCAAAAGUCCUCAAAAUAUUAUUUUUCCAUGUAAAUAUACCAGGUAGGGUCGGGACCAAACAAAUACACCUUCUCCUACGCGAAAUAGGAUACUUUUUCCGGACAGGACGUGCGCGGCCGCACGCCUGGAAGUGUGUUCGCGCACUUUUCACCCUGUUCUGCCUCAUAUGCGUGCCCAAUGCGCGGCCGUGCACGUGAGUUGAGGUCUGUUGGGAAUUUAGAAAAACGUAAAACAUGAAAGUUGUAUCCCUUUUAAAUAGAUUUCCAAAGAUAUAUUGUGGAGCCCAAACGGAGUUCUGAGCAAAAUGUUAUAUGCAUUUUACUGAACACUAUGCAAUAUGUCUGCUCAAUUCUUCGUUUCAUUCCACUAUCAUCCGUUCAUCCACGAACACGAUCCCGACUUAAUCCUUGGGCUUUUACUCAGUGAUAAUCGGCUUAAUGUAUGUAUAUUUUGAUAUAUAUCACCUCACAUUUUGCUCAUGUCUCGACGAUUUGAGAUGUUUAAUAUGAUUAUUUAUGCUAAAUUUUGGUAUUUCUAUGUGUAGGGAUCAUUCGGAUGCAAUUUGGGAUGAAAGGGCGCGAAUUGGAGCGAAAUCGGGACAAAAACGCAAAAAGUGAAAUUUGAGGGCCACAGCCAGCGUGGGGCACUGGCUGUGGCGCAAUUUACAGUAGCCAAAAUAUUUGAGAGCCAGGGCCAGCGCCCCACGCUGCCCUGGACGCUCAAGACGGGAAAGUGUCCUUUUUCGACUAGGACUCGGUUAUUUCGACCCCUAGACGCCCCCAACUCAUAUAAAAGCCAACCUAAACCUAUUUUUGAAGGGGAGGACGUUUUGAGAGAAAAAACACAAGCACAGAACCGCUGUGGAGGCCGAAAUUCAUCAAGUUCCAUCUUUCUCUCACCAAACUUAGUAAUUUUUAUGUUUCUUUGUAUGAUUUGUUGUUUGGCUACCAUGUCUAUGUGGAUCUAAACUUCACGUUCUAGGGUUGUGGUUCUUUCAUGACUAUUAUUAUUCGGAUAUUGAUUUUGCCUUCUUGAUUUAUCAUAUUGGUUUAUUUAUUCAAUUUUGCGCUUAAUUAUUUAAUUGCUUGAUCACCAAUUGAAUACUAUCUACGAAUCUAGAAUUGAAUUCGAAAGUGGGAAUUAUAUAUUGCAUAUAGGAUUGAGUAGAGCAAGUUCUUGAACUCGAGCAUCGGGGAACGGAUUCGUGGUUAGGAUAGACAUAUACCUAAUUGCCUUGCUUGUUUGAUUUACAGGAAUUAUAAAUGCGUUCUUGUUGAUUCUAACUCCAUAGACAUAUAGGCGUUAGGUUAGCUUGAAUAGGCGAGUAAGAACUCAACAGAUUCUUAUGAGCAAUAUUAACCCUAUCAACCAAUAAGCUAGAUAAAUUAGUCGGUCAAUUCAAUUUAAGAAUACAAUAUGAUUGUUAGAUAGCCCAUAACCCUAGAUCGUUUUCAUUACAUUGAUAUCAUAAAAAAUCUGCUCUUUCUCUGUUCAAAGUUUAUUAUUUAUAUUUUUUUAUUUAAGUAGUUUAGAAUAAAAUAUUUUUAGGUUUAAUUCUUGUUUAGAUAAUUAGGAUAGUCUAAUUUAGUUAAUAGUUAAUCAUAAGUCCUCGUGGGUUCGAUAUCUAACUUUUAGUCACUUUAUUACUUGACGACCGCGUAUACUUGCGUGUGCGUUUGGCCGCAACACUCAAGCUUCAAAGCUCCCGACUAGCUUGAAUUCAUUCCAUAACAUCUACAUAGAUUUGAAUCACUCCUACAAGGCAUAAAACACACAGUUAGUGCAAAACACUAGCGAUUAAAGCUCCAACUCAAUUAAAGUGCAGUAAAUUAGUGUACAAUAAUCAACUAAAACAUGCGAUUAUAGCCUACCAUCAUUCACAUAUGAGGCACCGCAUUCGCAUUGAGCUGAGCUGAGAGCUAGGAGAUGGAGACUUCUUCAUCAUGUUCGCGUUAGCUGUGUCGCAAUCGCGUAGUGUAGAUGUGUGUGGUCAUCACGUUCGCGUGGGAGUUAUCACGAAUGAACUGAGUAUUUUUUGAGGUAGUUGCAUUUGUUCUUUGCGACCAUGUAGGAUAUCUCGCGAUCGCGAUGGGCGGACUAUUCAGUGAAUUAUAAGUACUAUAUUUUGAGGGUUUCAGACAAUUUAGCAUAUUUUGAGUUAUGGAGCUCGGAAUAAGGCGAUGUUUGAGGUGAUUUUCACCACAUGGUUUGGGGAAAGUGUUUUAUACUCGGUAUUUAUUUUAUUUCGUGAUUCCAUUUUCAUAUUUGGCAUAUGAUUGAUGAUUUCAAAAGAGAAAUUGUAGGUGUUUGUCUAAAUUUUCCUAAAGUGAAUUUUUGAGUUUUGAACAACUAUUCAGAGGCGGAUUUGAGUGAAAUUAGUAUGGUUGGACUCCUAAUUGAAUGAGUUGUAGUAUUUUGUGAGUUUUUUCGGGUUCCGAGGUGCGAGCUCGGGUUUGACUUUUUGGUUGACUUUGAGUUAUUGAUUAAAGAUUCGACCUUUAUCAUUUGGGAUUGUUUCCUUGGGCAUUAUUGGAUGCUUUUGAGUUACUUUUUGCUAGUUUCGAGCUGCUCGGAGGUUGAUAUGCACGGGAUGGCAUUUAUAGAGUAUUGUUUUGCUUGAUCGGUAUUGUUUUGGAUUGUUUGAGGUGAGUAUCGUAUUUAAACAUGGUUGAGGCACGAGUUGCCUGAAUUAUUUGUGAUAGCUACGUACUAUGGGUGCACACAUGUGUGGGGUUUGAGCCCAUGUGUGAACACCGGGGAUAUUUAUCCAUUCUCGGGUUGUGCUUAGGCUAUGAUAAGCAUAGAAUUGACUGUUAAGAUUUAAGCUAUGAUGUUUCUCAUAUUUGUAACAUUGUGUGAACUAUUUGAGCCGUGUUUGAGGCUACAUAGAGGUUUAAUCCCCGAAUAAACUUGAUAAAUGCUAUUCUGUGAUGAAAUUGCUGAUUGGUGCUAUGAUAGCACACUUUGCACAUGCCUACACUUUAGCAUGAGAUUUGUUAUUCAUUCAUCACAUACAUGUAUUCUUGUUUAUUUGCUCUUGUGUGAUAUGAUUUGGAUUGGGUGCCUGUGACCACACCAGGCAGAUUAUGUUGAUAUGCUUGUGACCACGUCGGGCAAAUUGUGUUGAUAUUCCCAUGACCACACCGGGUGGAUUUUAUUAAUAUGCAUUUGACCUCACCAGGCGAAUUGUGAUAUAGCAUGUAACCACAUCGGGCGGAUCCAUCACAUUGAGCCUGUGACCACGUCGGAUGGAUUAUGAUAUUGAGCAUGUGAUCACGCCGGGCUGGUAGCACAUUGAAUUGGCCGUGCUUGCAUGUAGAUAAGGAUCUACCCCCUAGGGUCACCCUCUCAUGUUUCUCUCUUGCUGGUGUACACACAGAAUGUGAGAAACCGACAGGUUUCUGGUUGAUGUGAGCUUGGGGAGAGCUGGUUACGUUGAAUUGCCAUAUAUGCAGCAUUGUGGACUUGUCGGAACACUUUCAAACAAAUAAUUGUGACCAUAAAAGUGGUUUUACCUGAGAUUUCCUGAUUUAAUCAUAUAUCUGUUCUAUACUUGUUGAAAUUAUUAACUGCACAGGUGUUAGUGAGCAUCAUCUAUAGUUCUUGCUUCUUUUACCUUGCCGAGGUUAGUUAGAAUACUUAUUGAGUACAUGGGGUCUAUUGCACUCAAACUAUACUUCUACAAUAUGCGUGUCGAUCUUGGAGUUGUUGCUGAUGUGUAUGGCAGGAGCUGACAUUGAAGAUGUAGCCGUGCUCCAUUUAUGGCUAUCACUUGCCCUUGGUAGCUUUAGAUUCAAAUUCUAUUCCAGUACAAUCCAAACAGAUUUUGUAAUUAUUUCAGUUUAGUUUUUAAAAAAUCUAUGUCUUAGUGGCUUAUGACUAGUACAACCAGUCCUUGGGGAGUUGUAUAAAAUUUAGUUAUUUCAUUUUUGAAUCUUAUCAUUGUCAUUAUAUUUAUGUUUUAUUGCUAUUUGGCUUACCUAGUGGGUUGGGCUAGGUGCCAUCAUGAUGGGUUGGAUUUUGGGUUGUGACAAAUUGGUAUCAAAGCCCUAGCUUCAUAGUUCUACGAGUCAUGAGAAGAUGUCUAGUAGAGUCUUGCGGAUUAGUAUGAUGACGUCCUUACCUAUCUUUGAGAGGCUACAAGGCAUCUAUUAUAAACCUCCCAUCUUUCAUUCUUUAUCGUGCGGUAUUGAUUCAGCUUGAAGCAUAUCUCUUUGAAUUCCUUCCUCUCACUCAUAUGUGUAUGUAAGCGCUCGAUAUCAGCUGUGCAUUGAUGGCUUGUGAUUUCCAUGAAGGAGGUGCGAGAUGUCUUUUCUGUGUUUUGAUGGCGGGCCAUUCUGGAGGACUUGAGGCUGGGGUUUGACCGCGACUUGGGCUUGAUGGUUUCAGUUAUGAGAGUAUGCGCUUGUUGGACUCAUAUGCCCGGUGGUGUCCCUAGAAGUGGGAUUUAUGGCUCGGCGAAUGGUUGGUUAACUAUAUAAUGUGUAUGAUGUGACUGCGGGAUGUGUUCAUAUGGUUUUUAGUACGACGUUAAGAUUUUGCUUGGUAUGUGAAAGGGCUACGAUCACUUAAUUUAUGUGGAUGUAUUAUACAGUUUUGAAUUAUGAGUGUUUUGAUGGAUGCUUUCAUGUUGUUCAUUUGUGGAACGAAGUAAAUUAUCUUAUCUUGUAGAUGAGUUCAGACUCGGGAAGAUUAAGUGAUUGCGUAGUAAUUGUGGUUGUGAAAGAGUAUAGAGAGAUGGCAGUUUGAGGCUAAGCAUGUGGGUUAUCACCUACGGGGUAAUCUAUGAAUGUAUGAUCCUUAUGAUGUUGUGUGGAGGGUUUCUUUCUACCAGUGGGUUAUAUGUGUUGCGAUUUGUGUUUGGAUUGGUUGAAAAAGUUGACCUGACUGUCACGAGGAUGAAUGCGAGCUUAGCAGAUGAUUUGAACUAUUGUAUGGUUUGUGUUGCAUGAGUUUGUGAAGAAUUUAGUUGAAUCUCACUACGGGGUUAUGGCAGUAAUAGAGUAUGGGUAUUGUGAGUUAUCAGAUGUUUUAUUAUAUGGCGUUGAGCCAAGUAGGGGAGUCUACCAUCGGCGAUUUGAUUGCAUGGUUAUGUGCUGUAUUGGUUUCGGUCUGAGGCAUACUUAUGGAUCGGUUAUGACUUGCAUAGGUUAGUUUUGAGGAUGACUUGAGUAAGGGAUUUCUGGAGGCAUGAUGUAUUAUACCUUAUGGAUAUAUGAAGUCUUGGAAAUGUCCUAGGGUUGUUGUUCGUGAUAGAUGUAAUGUACCAAGAAAAAGGAUUCACUCGGUUGUUUAUUGGUACGGAUUACUUCUUUGGGUGUUAUUCUGCUAAUGGGGCACAAGUUGUUCGACCCGUUUGGGCGGUGCAAUUGAGAUUUGAGCAGAGUGGAUGACUCUCGAGAAGGUUCUAAUGGAUUCAAGAUUUAUAUGUGGUAAUGGAGAAUUUCUCUGAAUUUGUAUAUGGCUAAUAACUGAGAUUUGCAUUGGAUAGUGCUAGGACUUGUGGUAUUUCUGUAUCCCUAUGAAUUCUACAUUUCAGUAUCCGGGAGGUAAAAGGAAAAACUUUAAAUUCGCAGAAGGUCUCUUCAGAGUGGGUGUCUCAGUUGUGGUACCUUUAGGGUGCUUAAGAGGGAAUACAACGGCUUAUGGGCCUUGGGGUGAUGUGGUUUUAUGCUAAGAUCUCUCAUGGUGAGCGUUGAGUUAAGGGUCGUAGUAUGCUAGCAAAGAGAAGUAUCAACUUGAAGGUAAUUCAAAAGAAACUAAGAGGAAAUAAGACAUCUUGGUAGUAGGUUGGAUCAGUAUGGUAAUGGUAUGCUCGGUUCUUUUGGUUCUUACGGUGUGAUGAGGCUUUACAGGUGUUUUGUGGCAAUACUCUUGGGUUUGGCGACCUGCGUGACUUGGUUGAGUUAGAAGAAUUCAGUUCUGAUAUCUUGGUUAUGUGCAAAUAGGUUUCGUAAAGUUCUCGAUGAUUCCUUCCAUGGCUUGGGGUGGAUAUUUUAUACAAGCAUGAAGAGUUUUUUGUGCGUUAUGAUUUUCUCCUGAAUAGGAUAUGGUGAAAGGUUUCUAGCUAAUUGAAUAUGUAAUCUACUUGUGACUUAGAAUUGAUAAUGUGAUUCUCGUGCUUUUCACAUGAUGGCAUGAUAGAUGCGGUGUGUCCUGUGGGAUUGGGAUUUGCAUGUACAAGGUGGCAGUUCAGUUUUGGAGAGAAGGUCAUGAAUUUUGAACAGCAUGGACUGUUUCAGAUGUUUAGAUGAAUGUUAUUACUAAUUGGUAUUUCCUGAGAAGGGUGCGCAUUUCAGAAGGCGUACUGUGUUCUGACUUCGGAUGCUUCAUUGGUACUGCGGUACUCGUCUGGUUGAUCGACAGUUGAUAUUUAGAUUUUACCAUGUGGUGCAGGGGAAUUAUAGAAGUAUUUCUCAUGGGAUGAUUGUGUAUGAGUGAUAUGAUAGUCAUUCGAGUGGUGGAGCUGGGAUCGACAAUAGUGAUUCAUGUAUUCUAUGGAUUUGGAGACUGGAGUUCUUAGAAUUAAAUUAUUUCGGGGUUGCGGAAUGUGAAGAUGUGGCCAAUGUUAGCUAAAUGGUGGUGCGUGUUAUGGUUAGAUCAUUGUGGACUUUUGGAGGGCUAUUUAUCCCUUUGGGGAUGGCCAGAGUUGAUUUGGGGGCCCAUUGGUAGGCCCGAUGAGGAUGUGUAUUCUAUACCGGGUCAGAUUUGUUGACUCAGAACUGUUAGUGUUGAGAGGUGUGUCAUUCGGUUAGAGUUGAGCUUGUUCGUGUUUUGAGAUGUUCUGUGUGUUACUCUUCUAUGCUAUGAGGGGUUCUGAUUUGCUGGUUAUAUGCACACAUGAUGCGAUUCUGUUUGGGCAUUAUGGCGGAACUCGAGCCAGAUGGUUAAUGGGGUGUUGAAUGGUUAACGAGGGGUUGUGAUUGUCUUUCCUGUUUGUGGUAUAUGGUGCUAUCCAUUUCUCCAUGGUUAUAGUCACGCACUUCGUGUACUUGAUGUCAAAUUGUGUGUGGUUGUUGAUUUUUGAGCAUUGUGGCUUGAGAUAUUUCAUAUGGACCGGUGUUUGGCUAGGGUCACGCAUUGUAGCAGAGUUAUGUUGGAAUAUGAUCCUUUAUGUUAGUUCCAUGUAUCUCGGUUCUACUAUAUGUGAUGGGUUCUUAGCAUUGCGCUUGUGGUGGUAUCUAUUGAACCUGCGGGACGGUUCUUUCAUUUGAGUCAUUUUCCAUUUUUGAGUGCAUUUGAAUUGUUGCUUAUCGGUACACGGAUUGCACGGUUUGUUGCUCAGACAUUACCACCAAUUUUAAAUUUUUAACAUAUUCUAAAACAAGUUUACAUAAGUAAACUCUCAUAAAACUAGAUAAAAUGUCAUAACUAAAUACAGAAAUUUUCCAAAACGAGGGUGUCACUAAGUACAUGAGCCUCUAUAUAAUGACAUAGUCUGAUACACUGUCUAAAAAGUAGAACUGAAUAAAUAAAACUGAAAGAUACGGGGAGGAAGGUCAAGGUCUGUGAAUGCCAUAACAGCUACCUCGAUGAUCUCCGAAUAGGUAAAAACUCCACGAUCAACAACCACCGUGCCCGGAAAUGUCUGGAUCUGCACAGGAGGUGUAGGGUAUAGUAUGAGUACAAUUAACUCAAUAAGUAUCGCAAUUAAACAAGGCAAGAUAAGAGAAGAUUAAAUUAUUUAGGAUACUAGUUGAUUCAGAGUGAUUCUGUCCCAUUAGACCAACACAGUAUAAUAUUUAAACCUAACUCAUAAGGCUUCGUGAGAAGAAUAUUUGUGUGUACACGUGCAUUGUUUUUUCAAAAUACCCCGCUCAACAAUAUUAUGGCAUGUAGAGGAAAGAAACAAGUGAAUAAGAUAAAUGAUCAAGGAAAUACAAGUUCCACACACUGCACAGACAACUCACGUGAUGCACGGACAACUCACGUGCUAACGAUAGAACCUGCACGGAACACUCACGUGCGACACGAACAACUCACGUGUCAAUAAUAUCAAUAUAUGAAUCCACAUGGAUAAGUCACGUGCUGUACGGAUAACUCAUGUGCCAAUAAUAUGAAUACAUGGAUCCGCACGGACAACUCACGUGCUACACGAACAACUCACAUGCCAAUAAUAUCAAUACAUGGAUCUGCAUGGAUAACUCACGUGCUGCACGGACAACUCACAUGCCAAUAACAUAAUCCGCCCGGCAUAGCCGCAGGCCCCAGUCCAACAAUAUCAUACAUAAGCAAUAAAACAAGUAUACAGGUAUAUGAUGAAUGAAAUAAGAUUCUCAUGUCACUGGAUUGGUGUAAAUAACAUGCUAAAGUGUAGGCAUGUCCAUAGUGUUCUAUCAUAGCUCAAACCGGAAAUUUUAUCAAUGAAAAGCAUUUAUUAAGCUCGUUCAGGGGUUAAACCUCUAAGUAGCCUCAUCAGGGCUCAACUAGAUCACAUAAACUGUUACGAUAUGUGAGAUAUCAAAGCUUAAAGCUUAACAGUGCUUUAUGGGCUUAUAAGAUCCCGAGCACAACCCAAACAUCAAUAUAUAAUCCCGGUGCCUGCACAUGGGAUCAUCCCCAAUAAUGUCCGUAACCCAAAGGCACGUGGUUAUCAUAACAAUUUAGGCAACUAGUGCCUCAACCGAGUUUAAAUAUGAUACUUACCUCAAACCGAGAAAAUCUCUACUCCAACAAGCCCUUGCCUCGCGAGUCGGCCUCCGAAUACCUCGAAUCUAGCCAAAAACAAUUUUAUACAAUCAACACGAGCUAAAUGAAUCAAUUCCAUAUGAAAUUACUAAGUUCUUAAUCAAAAGUCAAAAAGUUAACUCAAAAGUUGACCCUCGGGCCCACGUCUCGAAAUCCGAUAAAAGUUAUAAAAUUCGGAAGCUCAUUUAACCACGAGUCCAGCCAUACAAAAUUUACCAAAAUCUAACACCAAAUCGUCAGUCAAAUCCCCAAAUUAAACUCUCCAAAUCCCUAGCCUCAAACUCCCAAAAUUCUACCUCCAAACACACAAAUUAGGUGGGAAAUUUAAUGGGGAAACAAUAUUAUUGAAUAAGUAUGAUCACAACUGACUUACCUCAACAAAUCAUUCGAAAUACCUCUUAAAAAUUUACUUAGACCAAGUUUGAAAAGUCCAAAAAUGAGAAAAAUCACGAAACCCUUAAAUUUAAUGUUCUGCCUAGUGCCUUCUCACCUGCGGAAUCGCUUUUGCAAUAAUAGUACCGCUUCUAUGGAAGUCACUUAAGUCCACAGGGUCCGCACCUGCGCUCCAAGUUCCGCACAUGCGGAAGCACUUGUGCGACCCUCGAUCCGCUUCUGCGAAGACAGCCUACACUCCCUUUCUCCGCAUCUGUGGGCUCGCAGAUGCAAAAGACCCCUAGCAUCUGCGUCACACCCCAAGCAAGCCCAUCUCCGCUCCUGCGCUACAUCAGCUGCACCUGCGGCCAAUCUCCUCGCAGGUGCGAUCACACCAGAAGGCUCCCAGCUUCAGUAAUUCUCUAAGUCCCAUUUUCAAUCCGAUAACCAUCUGAACUCCACCCUAGGGCCCCUCAAUACCUCAACCAAACACACCAAUAAGUCCUAAAACACGAUACGAACUUAGUUGAGCCCUCAAAUCUCAUCAAACACCAUCAAAACCCAAAUCGCACCCCAAAGCCUAAUAAAAACUAAGGAAUUCCAACUUCUACAAUCGAUGCUGAAACCUAUCAAAUCUAAGUCUGAUUGACCUAAAAUUUUUCACACAACUCAUAAAUGACACAACAGACCUACUCCAACACCCAAAACCAAAAUCCGAGCCCAGUAACCACAAAGUCAACUCUCGAUCAAACUUCUAAAUUUUCAAAGCUUUUUUCAACUUUUGCCAUUUCAAGUCUAAUUCAACUACGGAACUCCAAAUCACUAUCCGGACACACUACUAAGUCCAAAAUCACCCAACGGAGCUAUCGGAAUCAUCAAAACUCUAUUCCGGAGUUGUUUACACAAUAAGUCAACAUCUGGUCAACCUUUUCAACUUAAGCUCCCAACCUUGAGACUAAGUGUCUCAUCGCAUUUCGAAAUAUCCCCGGAACCGAAUCAACUACCCGGCAAGUCACAUAACAACAAUUAAGCAGUAAAUGGGGGAACGGGGCUACAACACUCAAAAUGACCGAUCGGGUCGUUACACUUAAACUCACACGGGCAAAAUUAGGGCUUCAAUUCAUAGACACAAACAAAAAAAUGUAAAUUCAUGCACCAGAUACUUCAGAGAGAAGAAGCCAAAGUGACAUUAAACACACAGAGAAAAACACACGGCAUCUCACGAGUUCAACAAAAAAUUGAGAGGAUAAGAAGAUAUUACCAAACUUCUUCAAAAACUUGAAAAGCAAGAGCCUUCUGCAUCAAAAUCAGAGGACAAAGCAGAAACACCUUAGAAUGAACAGAAACCACCAAAAAACACCAAAAACACAUUGUCACAGCCUCGUCGGAGAAAACAGAAUCAGCAAAAUCAAAUGUAAAGGGUAGGAUCGCUGGAAAGGCCGUGAUCUAAGGAAUCCAUUGAUGGCUCUAAUACCAUGAAAACAUGAAGGAUCGAAGCAGAUUUAAGGUAAAAUGUAAAUGCAAACCCUAGUUCUAACAGUCUCUGAGAGAGAACAAAAGGGAAAACAAUUUUCUCUUUUUAUUCGAUAGUCAACCCAUCUGUACAAAAUGAACGAGAGCUCUCUAAUUACAACAAGUGAACCGGGUCUUAUUAAGUUACAAUAGUCCAAUACAAAUGUGUGUUAGGGAGACUUUAGUUGGGC
rnacentral:lncRNA from 1 species